UACGGAGGGUGCUAGCGUUGUUCGGAAUUACUGGGCGUAAAGGGCGCGUAGGCGGCCGUUUGCGUCGGAUGUGAAAGCCCGGGGCUCAACCUCGGAACGGCAUUCGAUACGGGACGGCUGGAGACCGGGAGAGGAGAGUGGAAUAGCCAGUGUAGAGGUGAAAUUCGUAGAUAUUGGGAAGAACACCGGUGGCGAAGGCGGCGCUCUGGACCGAGACUGACGCUGAGGCGCGAAAGCCAGGGGAGCGAACGGG
rnacentral:rRNA from 1 species